rnacentral:lncRNA from 10 species
GCGCCUGCUGCUCCUCGCCGUCCGCGCUGCAGUGCGAAGGGCUCGAAGAUGGCCGGUUGGCAGAGCUACGUGGAUAACCUGAUGUGCGAUGGCUGCUGCCAGGAGGCCGCCAUUGUCGGCUACUGCGACGCCAAAUACGUCUGGGCAGCCACGGCCGGGGGCGUCUUUCAGAGCAUUACGAAAUAGAUAUGAUUGUAGGAAAAGACCGGGAAGGUUUCUUUACCAACGGUUUGACUCUUGGCGCGAAGAAAUGCUCAGUGAUCAGAGAUAGUCUAUACGUCGAUGGUGACUGCACAAUGGACAUCCGGACAAAGAGUCAAGGUGGGGAGCCAACAUACAAUGUGGCUGUCGGCAGAGCUGGUAGAGUCUUGGUCUUUGUAAUGGGAAAAGAAGGGGUCCAUGGAGGCGGAUUGAAUAAGAAGGCAUACUCAAUGGCAAAAUACUUGAGAGACUCUGGGUUCUAGCUGCUAGGCAGACUGUUAAGUAUUAGGGGAAAAUUGCUCUUAAACUUUCCUAGCUAUAAGCUUAAGUCUUAAUUCUGGAAAUUUUAUUAGCAAUGCAGGGUGAUGGGGUAUGAACCUGUGUCUCCUUUGUAUCCCUCUGUUGGUGGGGAAAGGUGUCUUUCUUUCUGCCCUCCCCCCCCAAAAUAAUUCUGUUCACUUUUGUUUUGUUUCCUUGUGUACUC